rnacentral:rRNA from 1 species
CGGUAAGAUAAACCCUAAAAACAUGAAGAAUUAGCAUCAAAACCAUCAUAGAAGCACUCCAUCUGUGAACAGAUCUGAUUAACCAACCAAAACUUACAUCCGUCAUUAAGUAACUUACUGAAUUGUAAGCUUGCGUUACAGUCGGUUUAUAAUAAAAAGUCAUUGCAAAACCUGUUGCAAAUUGAAUUAAGAAGCAUACUAGAGUUAUGCCUCCUAAACAGUAAAAAAUAUUUACGUGAGGAGGUACGUACUUGGAAGUUACGUCAUCAGUUAUGUCUUGUAUUUCAAGUCUCUCUUGAAACCAGUCAUAAACAGAAGAGGAAUUGGACAUCCAAAAAAAAAAUAGCUUUGAUACAGAGAGCUUACUUAAAAAUUACAUACUUGGUGUUAACACUUAACCCAAUGAAUUCAUCAUUUAACAAAAAUUUAAUAUUCAAAAAAUGGGUCAUAUUUAUGAUGAUCUGUAUUUUCUCUACCAAUUUUUUAUGCAUUCCAAGCGUUAGUGCGCUAAGUGAUAGCAAGCAAUUUGUACUUGAUGCUUGGACUUUAGUUAAUGAGGGAUAUUAUGAUAAAGAUAUACUCGAUGAAAUCCAAUGGAAGAGGAUUAGACAAAAAACAUUACAGAAACAAAUUGAAACAAGUGAUGAGGCUUAUUCUGCAAUUGAAGAUAUGUUGAAACCUCUUGAAGAUCCUUUCACAAGAAUAUUAAGGCCAAAAGAUUAUCAACUACUAAAAACAAGCAAUUUUGGAAGCGAAAUUAAUGGAGUAGGACUUCAAUUAGGAGAGGACGAAAUGACUAAAGAAAUUAAAGUUAUUUCAACAUUAGCAGGAUCCCCUGCUGAAGAAGCAGGAAUACUUAGUGGAGAUAAAAUAGAUAAGGUUGAUGGAAUAUCUUGUUCCGAUUUAGGUCUCGCAAAUACUGCAUCGAAACUAAGAGGAGAAUCUGGAACAAAAGUUCUUGUUCAAAUUACCUCAAUAUCUGAUGUGAGCAAAGAAAUAGAUUUAGAAAGAAGAUCAGUUGAUCUUAGACCAGUAAGAACAAAGAGAUUGAGAGAUGACUCUCAUACUAUUGGAUAUUUAAGAAUAACUCAAUUUAGUGAAAGUGUUCCAGAUAAAAUUGAAGAGGCUCUUCAGGAACUCAAAGAUAAAGAAGUUGAGGGGGUAAUACUUGAUUUAAGAAAUAAUUCUGGUGGGUUAGUAAGUUCUGGAAUCGCUGUAGCAGAAUCAUUUUUAAGUGAACAACCAAUCGUAGAAACAAAAGAUAGAAAUGGAAUUAAGGAUGCAAUAAUUUCUCAAAAAAAUACUUUUUUUGAUGGCCCAAUGGUAACUUUAGUAAACAAAGGCACUGCAAGCGCAAGUGAAAUUCUUGCAGGAUCCCUACAAGAUAAUAAGAGAUCAAUUUUAAUGGGCAAACAAACCUAUGGGAAGGGGGACGGAGAAGGCUAACCAAGCCAGAUGUUGGUUACUGGUUCAAGCGUUCGAGGCUUUGAGAGAUGGAGAAAACAUCUUGAGCUAAGGCGUGAGUACGAGUUGCUACGGCAGCGAAGUUGGUGAUGUCAUGCUUCCAAGAAAAGCCCUAUACCCGUUAAGACAUAUAUGCCAGUACCCGAAACCGACACAGGUGGGGUGGUAGAGAAUACCGAGGGGCGCGAGAUAACUCUCUCUAAGGAACUCGGCAAAAUGACCCCGUAACUUCGGGAGAAGGGGUGCCAGCGAGAGCUGGUCGCAGUGAAGAGGCGCAAGCGACUGUUUACCAAAAACACAGGUCUCCGCUAAGUCGUAAGACGAUGUAUGGGGGCUGACACCUGCCCAGUGCCGGAAGGUUAAGGAAGCUGGUUAGCUUUUAGUAAAGCUGGCGACUGAAGCCCCGGUGAACGGCGGCCGUAACUAUAACGGUCCUAAGGUAGCGAAAUUCCUUGUCGGGUAAGUUCCGACCCGCACGAAAGGUGUAACGAUUUGCGCGCUGUCUCGGAGAGAGGCUCGGCGAAAUAGAAUUGUCUGUGAAGAUGCGGACUACAUACACCCGGACAGAAAGACCCUAUGAAGCUUUACUGUAGUUUGAUAUUGUGCUCGGGCUCUAAUUGCGCAGAAUAGGUGGGAGACAUUGAAAUAGUGCUUGUGGGUAUUAUUGAGUCACCGGUGAGAUACCACUCUAUUAGAGCUAGGGUUCUAACGCUUACCCGUUAUCCGGGAAGCGGACAGUAUCUGAUGGGCAGUUUGACUGGGGCGGUCGCCUCCUAAAAGGUAACGGAGGCGCACAAAGGUUCCCUCAGGCUGGUUGGAAAUCAGUUGUUGAGUGCAAAAGCAGAAGGGAGCUUGACUGUGAGACCUACAAGUCGAACAGGGACGAAAGUCGGUUUUAGUGAUCCGACGGUUCUGCGUGGAAGGGCCGUCGCUCAACGGAUAAAAGUUACUCUAGGGAUAACAGGCUGAUCUCCCCCAAGAGUUCACAUCGACGGGGAGGUUUGGCACCUCGAUGUCGGCUCAUCGCAACCUGGGGCUGAAGUCGGUCCCAAGGGUUGGGCUGUUCGCCCAUUAAAGCGGUACGCGAGCUGGGUUCAGAACGUCGUGAGACAGUUCGGUCCAUAUCCGGUGUAUGCGCAGGAAUAUUGAGAGGAUUUCUCCCUAGUACGAGAGGACCGGGAGGAACGCACCUCUGGUGUACCAGUUAUCGUGCCAACGGUAAACGCUGGGUAGCCAUGUGCGGAGUGGAUAACCGCUGAAAGCAUCUAAGUGGGAAGCCCACCUCAAGAUGAGUAUUGCCAUGGCUUAAGCCAGUAAGGUCACGGGAAGAACACCCGUUGAUAGGCUCUACGUCGAAGCUUGGUAACAAGUGCAGCGGAGGAGUACUAAUAGACCGAGGGCUUGACCA